AAGCAAGAAGAUAAAACGUUUUCAAAAAUAACCUCAAAAGGCAAAAAGGAGCGCUAUAAGAUGGGAACAAUUAUUUGUCAAACAUGCAGUGACACAAUUGAGUAUUUUGAUGAUGAGAAAGUAUCAACGCUUUACGGAACGUGCCAAUAUUGUGAGGAAAAAGAUAAAUAGAAUAAUAGAAUCAUAAAAUAAAAAAGCUCUGCAUUUGCAGAGCUUUUUUAUUUU
rnacentral:sRNA from 1 species